AUUGAACGCUGGCGGCAUGCCUUACACAUGCAAGUCGAACGGCAGCACGGGAGCAAUCCUGGUGGCGAGUGGCGAACGGGUGAGUAAAGUAUCGGAACGUGCCCAGUCGUGGGGGAUAACGUAGCGAAAGUUACGCUAAUACCGCAUACGAUCUAUGGAUGAAAGCGGGGGAUCGCAAGACCUCGCGCGAUUGGAGCGGCCGAUAUCAGAUUAGGUAGUUGGUGGGGUAAGGGCUCACCAAGCCGACGAUCUGUAGCUGGUCUGAGAGGACGACCAGCCACACUGGGACUGGGACACGGCCCAGACUCCUACGGGAGGCAGCAGUGGGGAAUUUUGGACAAUGGGCGAAAGCCUGAUCCAGCCAUGCCGCGUGCAGGAUGAAGGCCUUCGGGUUGUAAACUGCUUUCGUACGGAACGAAAAGGUUUGGCCUAAUAAGCUGAGCUCAUGACGGUACCGUAAGAAUAAGCACCGGCUAACUACGUGCCAGCAGCCGCCGUAAAAC
rnacentral:rRNA from 1 species